AUUGAACGCUGGCGGCAUGCCUUUACACAUGCAAGUCGAACGGUAACAGGUCUUCGGAUGCUGACGAGUGGCGAACGGGUGAGUAAUACAUCGGAACGUGCCCGAUCGUGGGGGAUAACGCAGCGAAAGCUGUGCUAAUACCGCAUACGAUCUACGGAUGAAAGCGGGGGAUCGCAAGACCUCGCGCGGACGGAGCGGCCGAUGGCAGAUUAGGUAGUUGGUGGGGUAAAGGCUCACCAAGCCUUCGAUCUGUAGCUGGUCUGAGAGGACGACCAGCCACACUGGGACUGAGACACGGCCCAGACUCCUACGGGAGGCAGCAGUGGGGAAUUUUGGACAAUGGGCGCAAGCCUGAUCCAGCCAUGCCGCGUGCAGGAUGAAGGCCUUCGGGUUGUAAACUGCUUUUGUACGGAACGAAAAGGUCUGCCUUAAUACGGCGGGCCCAUGACGGUACCGUAAGAAUAAGCACCGGCUAACUACGUG
rnacentral:rRNA from 1 species